rnacentral:rRNA from 1 species
UACAGAGGGGGCAAGCGUUGUUCGGAAUUACUGGGCGUAAAGGGCGCGUAGGCGGCCUUCUAAGUCGAACGUGAAAUCCCCGGGCUCAACCCGGGAACUGCGUCCGAUACUGGAAGGCUUGAAUCCGGGAGAGGGAUGCGGAAUUCCAGGUGUAGCGGUGAAAUGCGCAGAUAUCAGGAGGAACACCGGUGGCGAAGGCGGAUCUCUGGGCCUUACCUGACGCUCAGGCGCGAAAGCUAGGGGAGCGAACAGG